UGGCAAUGUCUUCACUUCUGAUUCCUUCC
rnacentral:piRNA from 1 species